rnacentral:rRNA from 1 species
UGCGAUAAGUAAUGUGAAUUGCAGAAUUCAGCGAACCAUCGAAUCUUUGAACGCACAUUGCGCCCGCCAGCAUUCUGGCGGGCAUGCCUGUCCGAGCGUCAUUU